AAUUUAUAGUAAGAGGAAAAUCCGUCGAAUUUUAAAAUCAU
rnacentral:tRNA from 1 species